UCAAGCGAACAAGGGCGCAGGGCGAAUGCCUUGGCACUGGGAGCCGAUGAAAGACGUGAUAAGCUGCGAUAAGCUUCGGGGAGCUGCAAAUAAGCAUUGAUCCGGAGAUUUCUGAAUGAGGAAACUCACCUGGGUUCAUACUCAGGUACGUUAUACUGAACUUAAAAAUAGGUAUAUCGAGGGAACCGCCUGAACUGAAACAUCUAAGUAGGGCGAGGAAGAGACAUCAAACGAGAUUCCGUAAGUAGUGGCGAGCGAACGCGGAAGAGGGCAAACCGAGAGUAGAAAUACUUUCGGGGUACGGACUGCUUUUAAGACUUAAUCUGUUAACCGAACGGCAUGGGAAGGCCGGUCAGAGAGUGUGAGAACCACGUAGGUGAAAACGGAGAGAGCUGCGCAGGAUCCAGAGUACGGCCAGACACGUGAAACCUGGUCGGAAGAUGGGGGGACCACCCUCCAACCCUAAAUACUACCCAGUGACCGAUAGCGUAUAGUACUGUGAAGGAAAGGUGAAAAGCACCCCGGGAGGGGAGUGAAAAAGAACCUGAAACCCUGUGCCUACAAGCACCUAGAGCACGUCAAUGUGUGAUAGGGUACUUUUUGUAGAACGGUCCGGCGAGCGAUUGUAUGCAGCAAGGUUAAGGACUUAAGGUCUGGAGCCGAAGCGAAAGCGAGUUUGAAAAGGGCGUUAAGUUGCAUAUAAUGGGCCCGAAACCGGGUGACCUACCCAUGGUCAGGUUGAAGUGGAAGUAAAAUUCCAUGGAGGACCGAACCGACCUCCGUUGAAAAGGCGGCGGAUGAACUGUGGGUAGCGGAGAAAUUCCAAUCGAACCCGGAGAUAGCUGGUUCUCCCCGAAAUAGUUUUAGGACUAGCCUCAAGUUAGAUACCUGGAGGUAAAGCACUGAAUAGCCUAGCGGCCGAGAGGUUAGCGAAGCUUAUCAAACUCAGAAUGCCAGAGUAUUGAUGCUUGGGAGUCAGACAGUGUCAGAUAAAUGUCAUUGUCAAAAGGGAAACAGCCCAGAUCUACAGCUAAGGUCCCAAAGUCAGGUUAAGUGGAAAACGAUGUGAAGAUACGCAGACAACCAGGAUGUUGGCUCAGAAGCAGCCACUCAUUCAAAGAGUGCGUAAUAGCUCACUGGUCGAGCGUCUUUGCGCGGAGAAUUUAACGGGGCUAAACCUGACACCGAAGCUUAGGCAAUACAGCAAUGUAUUGGGUAGGGGAGCGUUGUAUACGCGGAGAAACAGUAGCGCAAGCGGCUGUGGAGUGUAUAGAAGUGAGAAUGCCGGAAUGAGUAGCGCGAAUGCAGUGAGAAUCUGCAUGGCCGAAAGCCUCAGGUUUUUGGAGGAAGGUUCGUCCGCUCCAGGUUAGUCGGGAGCUAAGGUGAGGCCUAACGGCGUAGCCGAUGCACAGACGGUAGAGAUUCCGUCACCACCAAAAGAGUUAAACACAGGGACACAUUUGAAGUCUCGGAGCCGGGUGUUGGUUCCGGUAGAGAUCGAGGGAAAUUAGUACCGAAGUCUGAGAUGGAAGAUGGCGAGAAAAGCUGUGUGUAUUUCUGCGGUGCCCGUACCGCAAACCGACACAGGUAGGUAGGAAGAAGAUUCUAAGGCCAACGGGAGAAGGGUUGUUAAGGAACUCGGCAAAUUGACCCCGUAACUUCGGGAGAAGGGGUGCUCCAGAGAUGGAGCCGCAGAGAAUCGGCCCAAGCAACUGUUUACCAAAAACACAGGUUUGUGCUAAAUCGAAAGAUGACGUAUACGAGCUGACGCCUGCCCGGUGCUGGAAGGUUAAGAGGAGAUGUGCAAGCAUUGAAUCGAAGCCCCAGUGAACGGCGGCCGUAACUAUAACGGUCCUAAGGUAGCGAAAUUCCUUGUCAGGUAAGUUCUGACCCGCACGAAAGGUGUAAUGAUCUGGACACUGUCUCAACCAUAGACU
rnacentral:rRNA from 1 species